AACGAACGCUGGCGGCGUGCUUAACACAUGCAAGUCGAGCGCGAAAGGGGGUUCGCCCCCGAGUAGAGCGGCAGACGGGUGAGUAACACGUGGGUAACCUACCCCAGAGCGGGGAAUAACAGAUCGAAAGGACUGCUAAUACCGCAUAAGACCACGUCCUUUAGGGGAUGAGGUAAAAGGCUUCGGCCACUUUGGGAGGGGCCCGCGUCCGAUUAGCUAGUUGGUGAGGUAAUGGCUCACCAAGGCGACGAUCAUUAGCUGGUCUGAGAGGACGAUCAGCCACACUGGGACUGAGACACGGCCCAGACUCCUACGGGAGGCAGCAGUGGGGAAUUUUGGACAAUGGGCGAAAGCCUGAUCCAGCAAUGCCGCGUGUGUGAAGAAGGCCUUCGGGUUGUAAAGCACUUUUGUCCGGAAAGAAAUGGCUCUGGUUAAUACCUGGGGUCGACGACGGUACCGGAAGAAUAAGGACCGGCUAACUACGUGCCAGCAGCCGCCGUAAAAC
rnacentral:rRNA from 1 species